UUAAACUGCUUGGGAAACUGAUAGUCUAGAGUGAGGGAGAGGUAGAUGGAAUUGGUGGUGUAGGGGUAAAAUCCGUAGAUAUCACCAAGAAUACCCAUUGCGAAGGCGAUCUGCUGGAACUCAACUGACGCUAAGGCGCGAAAGCGUGGGGAGCAAACAGGAUUAGAUACCCUGGUAGUCCACGCCCUAAACGAUGUACACUAGUUGUUGGGAUGCUAGUCAUCUCAGUAAUGCAGCUAACGCAUUAAGUGUACCGCCUGGGGAGUACGGUCGCAAGAUUAAAACUCAAAGGAAUAGACGGGGACCCGCACAAGCGGUGGAGCAUGUGGUUUAAUUCGAAGAUACGCGAAGAACCUUACCUGGGCUUGAUAUCCUAAGAACCUUAUAGAGAUAUGAGGGUGCUAGCUUGCUAGAACUUAGAGACAGGUGCUGCACGGCUGUCGUCAGCUCGUGUCGUGAGAUGUUGGGUUAAGUCCCGCAACGAGCGCAACCCACGUAUUUAGUUGCUAACGGUUCGGCCGAGCACUCUAAAUAGACUGCCUUCGUAAGGAGGAGGAAGGUGUGGACGACGUCAAGUCAUCAUGGCCCUUAUGCCCAGGGCGACACACGUGCUACAAUGGCAUAUACAAUGAGACGCAAUACCGCGAGGUGGAGCAAAUCUAUAAAAUAUGUCCCAGUUCGGAUUGUUCUCUGCAACUCGAGAGCAUGAAGCCGGAAUCGCUAGUAAUCGUAGAUCAGCCAUGCUACGGUGAAUACGUUCCCGGGUCUUGUACUCACCGCCCGUCACACCAUGGGAGUUGAUUUCACUCGAAGCCGGAAUACUAA
rnacentral:rRNA from 1 species